CGGGUGACGGGGAAUCAGGGUUCGAUUCCGGAGAGGGAGCCUGAGAAAUGGCUACCACUUCUACGGAAGGCAGCAGGCGCGCAAAUUACUCAAUCCCAAUACGGGGAAGUAGUGACAAAAAAUACUAAUGCCUUUCCAUUUAUAUGGGGGGCAAUUGGAAUAAGUACAACUUAAAUCGCUUAGCAAAAGUGAUUGGAGGGCAAGUCUGGUGCCAGCAGCCGCGGUAAUUCCAGCUCCAAUAGCGUAUACUAAAUUUGUUGCAGUUAAAAAGCUCGUAGUUGAGAUUGAGAUUUCUUAGGUUUAGAGUCGCUUGGCCUUCGGGUUUGAGUUUGAUUCGUAAAGCUUUAUAGUAGAAUUCCAUUUUAUUAUUAAAGUUACUAAGAAAUUUCUAUCUGCCCAUGGUAGCUAGCAAUAGUUAUCAAUCGGGUGAUCUACUGUGAGAAAAUUGUAGUGYUCAAAGCAGGCGUCUUACGUUUGUUCAAUGCAGCAUGGUAUAGUAAAAUAUGACACUAAAUAUAUGUUGGUUGUAUAUUCUUAGUGUAAUGACUAAUAGGGAAGGGCGGGGCCGU
rnacentral:rRNA from 1 species